GAUGAACGCUAGCUACAGGCUUAACACAUGCAAGUCGCGGGGCAGCAUGGGGGUUGCUUGCCACCCCUGAUGGCGACCGGCGCACGGGUGAGUAACGCGUAUCCAACCUGCCCUUCACCACGGGAUAACCCGGCGAAAGUCGGACUAAUACCGUAUGUUGUCCAUUGACGGCAUCCGAUUUGGACGAAAGGCUUGGCGGUGGAAGGAGGGGGAUGCGUCCGAUUAGCUUGACGGCGGGGUAACGGCCCACCGUGGCUACGAUCGGUAGGGGUUCUGAGAGGAAGGUCCCCCACACUGGAACUGAGACACGGUCCAGACUCCUACGGGAGGCAGCAGUGAGGAAGAUUGGGCAAUGGGCGUAAGCCUGAACCAGCCAAGUAGCGUGCAGGAGGACGGCCCUAUGGGUUGUAAACUGCUUUUAUGCGGGGAUAAAGUGGCCCACGUGUGGGCUUUUGCAGGUACCGCAUGAAUAAGGACCGGCUAAUUCCGUG
rnacentral:rRNA from 1 species